rnacentral:rRNA from 1 species
CGAACGAACUCUGGUAUUGAUUGGUGCUUGCAUCAUGAUUUACAUUUGAGUGAGUGGCGAACUGGUGAGUAACACGUGGGAAACCUGCCCAGAAGCGGGGGAUAACACCUGGAAACAGAUGCUAAUACCGCAUAACAACUUGGACCGCAUGGUCCGAGUUUGAAAGAUGGCUUCGGCUAUCACUUUUGGAUGGUCCCGCGGCGUAUUAGCUAGAUGGUGGGGUAACGGCUCACCAUGGCAAUGAUACGUAGCCGACCUGAGAGGGUAAUCGGCCACAUUGGGACUGAGACACGGCCCAAACUCCUACGGGAGGCAGCAGUAGGGAAUCUUCCACAAUGGACGAAAGUCUGAUGGAGCAACGCCGCGUGAGUGAAGAAGGGUUUCGGCUCGUAAAACUCUGUUGUUAAAGAAGAACAUAUCUGAGAGUAACUGUUCAGGUAUUGACGGUAUUUAACCAGAAAGCCACGGCUAACUACGUGCCAGCAGCCGCGGUAAUACGUAGGUGGCAAGCGUUGUCCGGAUUUAUUGGGCGUAAAGCGAGCGCAGGCGGUUUUUUAAGUCUGAUGUGAAAGCCUUCGGCUCAACCGAAGAAGUGCAUCGGAAACUGGGAAACUUGAGUGCAGAAGAGGACAGUGGAACUCCAUGUGUAGCGGUGAAAUGCGUAGAUAUAUGGAAGAACACCAGUGGCGAAGGCGGCUGUCUGGUCUGUAACUGACGCUGAGGCUCGAAAGUAUGGGUAGCAAACAGGAUUAGAUACCCUGGUAGUCCAUACCGUAAACGAUGAAUGCUAAGUGUUGGAGGGUUUCCGCCCUUCAGUGCUGCAGCUAACGCAUUAAGCAUUCCGCCUGGGGAGUACGGCCGCAAGGCUGAAACUCAAAGGAAUUGACGGGGGCCCGCACAAGCGGUGGAGCAUGUGGUUUAAUUCGAAGCUACGCGAAGAACCUUACCAGGUCUUGACAUACUAUGCAAAUCUAAGAGAUUAGACGUUCCCUUCGGGGACAUGGAUACAGGUGGUGCAUGGUUGUCGUCAGCUCGUGUCGUGAGAUGUUGGGUUAAGUCCCGCAACGAGCGCAACCCUUAUUAUCAGUUGCCAGCAUUAAGUUGGGCACUCUGGUGAGACUGCCGGUGACAAACCGGAGGAAGGUGGGGAUGACGUCAAAUCAUCAUGCCCCUUAUGACCUGGGCUACACACGUGCUACAAUGGAUGGUACAACGAGUUGCGAACUCGCGAGAGUAAGCUAAUCUCUUAAAGCCAUUCUCAGUUCGGAUUGUAGGCUGCAACUCGCCUACAUGAAGUCGGAAUCGCUAGUAAUCGCGGAUCAGCAUGCCGCGGUGAAUACGUUCCCGGGCCUUGUACACACCGCCCGUCACACCAUGAGAGUUUGUAACAUCCAAAGUCGGUGGGGUAACCUAUUAGGAACCAGCCGC